AGUAGUAUAGGAUAGCCACUAGAAAUGGUGGGUAAUACUGUAUAAUCCCUGCGGGGGAAAGAUUUAUCGCUACAUGAUGAGCCUAUGUUAGAUUAGCUAGUUGGUAGGGUAAAGGCCUACCAAGGCGAUGAUCUAUAGCUGGUCUGAGAGGAUGAUCAGCCACACUGGAACUGAGAUACGGUCCAGACUCCUACGGGAGGCAGCAGUGGGGAAUAUUGGACAAUGGGCGCAAGCCUGAUCCAGCUAUGCCGCGUGAGUGAGGAAGGCCUUAGGGUUGUAAAACUCUUUCAGUAGGGAAGAUAAUGACGGUACCUA
rnacentral:rRNA from 1 species